AGCGGAGGAAAAGAAACCAACCGGGAUUGCCUCAGUAACGGCGAGUGAAGCGGCAACAGCUCAAAUUUGAAAGCCCGCGGGCGUUGUAAUUUGCAGGCGGAUGUUUUGGGGCGGGCGCUGUCUACGUUCCUUGGAACAGGACGCCGCAGAGGGUGAGAGCCCCGUGCGAUGGCGCCUCUAACCGCGUAAAACUCCGCCGACGAGUCGAGUUGUUUGGGAAUGCAGCUCCAAGUGGGUGGUAAAUUCCAUCUAAAGCUAAAUACUGGCGAGAGACCGAUAGCGAACAAGUACAGUGAUGGAAAGAUGAAAAGCACUUUGAAAAGAGAGUGAAACAGCACGUGAAAUUGUUGAAAGGGAAGGGUAUGCGAUUAGCGGCCAGCAGGAGGUGCCUUCUCGUGAAAAGGCCGUGCACCGUCUUCGGACACCGUGCGCGGAGAUGGCGAGGGGGCGCCUGAGGUCUGCGAACUCGAGUGCUGCG
rnacentral:rRNA from 1 species